UACGGAGGCAGCAGUGGGGAAUAUUGCACAAUGGGCGCAAGCCUGAUGCAGCCAUGCCGCGUGUAUGAAGAAGGCCUUCGGGUUGUAAAGUACUUUCAGUCGUGAGGAAGGUGUUAAGGUUAAUAACCUUAGCAAUUGACGUUAGCGACAGAAGAAGCACCGGCUAACUCCGUGCCAGCAGCCGCGGUAAUACGGAGGGUGCGAGCGUUAAUCGGAAUUACUGGGCGUAAAGGGCACGCAGGCGGUUAAUAAGUUGGAUGUGAAAUCCCCGGGCUUAACCUGGGAAUGGCAUUCAAGACUGGUUAGCUAGAGUCUUGUAGAGGGGGUAGAAUUCCAUGUGUAGCGGUGAAAUGCGUAGAGAUGUGGAGGAAUACCGGUGGCGAAGGCGGCCCCUGGACAAAGACUGACGCUCAUGUGCGAAAGCGUGGGGAGCAAACAGGGAUUAGAUACC
rnacentral:rRNA from 1 species